CGAAGCACUUUACCGGAUUUCUUCGGGAUGAAAGUUUUGUGACUGAGUGGCGGACGGGUGAGUAACGCGUGGGUAACCUGCCUCAUACAGGGGGAUAACAGUUGGAAAUGACUGCUAAUACCGCAUAAGACCACAGGACCGCAUGGUGCGGUGGUAAAAACUCCGAUGGUAUGAGAUGGACCCGCGUCUGAUUAGCUAGUUGGUAAGGUAACGGCUUACCAAGGCGACGAUCAGUAGCCGACCUGAGAGGGUGACCGGCCACAUUGGGACUGAGACACGGCCCAAACUCCUACGGGAGGCAGCAGUGGGGAAUAUUGCACAAUGGGGGAAACCCUGAUGCAGCGACGCCGCGUGAGCGAUGAAGUAUUUCGGUAUGUAAAGCUCUAUCAGCAGGGAAGAAAAUGACGGUACCUGACUAAGAAGCACCGGCUAAAUACGUGCCAGCAGCCGCGGUAAUACGUAUGGUGCAAGCGUUAUCCGGAUUUACUGGGUGUAAAGGGAGCGUAGACGGAGAGGCAAGUCUGAUGUGAAACCCGGGGCUCAACCCCGGGACUGCAUUGGAAACUGUUUUUCUAGAGUGUCGGAGAGGUAAGUGGAAUUCCUAGUGUAGCGGUGAAAUGCGUAGAUAUUAGGAGGAACACCAGUGGCGAAGGC
rnacentral:rRNA from 1 species